rnacentral:misc_RNA from 1 species
CAACCCUCAAGCUUUUGCUUGGUGUUGGGUGGUCAGUCCUUUAGGACUCACCCGAAAAGCAGCGGCGAUUCAGCCAGACUUUGGGCGCAGUAAAUUUUACCAUUCGCUUUGAAGUUUCUGGGUGGCAUUUGCCGGACAACCCAUAUAAUUUUUCUAU